rnacentral:rRNA from 1 species
UACGGAAGGCAGCAGUGGGGAAUAUUGCACAAUGGGCGAAAGCCUGAUGCAGCUAUGCCGCGUGUAUGAAGAAGGCCUUAGGGUUGUAAAGUACUUUCAUCGGGGAGGAAAAAACAAAACUAAUAAUUUUAUUUCUUGACGUUACCCGAAAAAGAAGCACCGGCUAACUCCGUGCCAGCAGCCGCGGUAAUACGGAGGGUGCUAGCGUUAAUCAGAAUUACUGGGCGUAAAGAGCACGUAGGUGGUUUUUUUAAGUCAGAUGUGAAAUCCCUGGGCUUAACCUAGGAACUGCAUUUUGAAACUGAAAUACUAGAGUAUCGUAGAAGGAGGUAGAAUUCUAGGUGUAGCGGUGAAAUGCGUAGAUAUCUGGAGGAAUACCUGUGGCGAAAGCGGCCUCCUAAACGAAUACUGACACUGAGGUGCGAAAGCGUGGGGAGCAAACAGGGAUUAGAUACC